GCAGUGGUGGUUCAGUGAUAGAGUUUUCACCUUCCAUGUGGGAGACCUGGGUUCUAUUCCUGGCCAGUGCA
rnacentral:tRNA from 1 species